GGCGGGAUAGCUCAGCUGGUUAGAGCGCAUGAUUCAUAAUCAUGAGGUCGGGGGUUCAAGUCCCCCUCCCGCUA
rnacentral:tRNA from 4 species